GCACUAGUGGUUUAGUGGUAAAAUUGGUCGUUGCCAUUUCACAGUUUCGACUAGCCCCCGGUUCGAUUCCGGGCUAGUGCA
rnacentral:tRNA from 1 species